GUGCCAGCAGCCGCGGUAAGACAGAGGGUGCAAACGUUGCUCGGAAUCACUGGGCGUAAAGGGCGUGUAGGCGGGAAUGUAAGUCGGGCGUGAAAGCCCCAGGCUCAACCUGGGAACUGCACUCGAAACUGCGUUUCUUGAGUAUCGGAGAGGAAAGCGGAAUACCUGGUGUAGAGGUGAAAUUCGUAGAUAUCAGGUGGAACACCAGUGGCGAAGGCGGCUUUCUGGACGAUUACUGACGCUGAGACGCGAAAGCGUGGGGAGCAAACAGGAUUAGAAACCCCCGUAGUCC
rnacentral:rRNA from 1 species